rnacentral:tRNA from 1 species
GCCGGAGUGGCGGAAUGGCAGACGCUGUGGUCUUAAACACCAUUGGCCGCAAGGCCGUAGGGGUUCGACUCCCCUCUCUGGCA